UGUUGUUUAUCCGAUCAGUCUCAAAAGUUGCCCUGCACAGCUAUGGACCAAUUAAGGGGAACCUCCAUAUAAAAUUUGAGAAAGAUCCCUCUGGUACUUCUUGAGAAAUACCAAUAACAAGAAUGGUUUAAGGACGGAUGACAGACAACGGGCGUCGGACAGUGGACGAUGGACGGACUAUGGACCACGGACCGGACGCAGGGUGAUUUGAUUAGCCCACCAUCAGAUGAUGGUGGGCUAAAAAGUUACUGUUAUAUGAUAGUGAAAACUUUUCCGAUUCAAAGUUCAUUUUUUUGGCAGUGGUACAGGGAUCCUUAAUGUUACAGUGCAAGUUGUAUAUAAACAGCCUGUACACACAUAAACAUCUUUUUAAGAGCUGAAAUUAAGACCAUUCAUUGGUGUGCAACAUGAUCACCAUAUAAAAACGUGUACAUAAAUAUAGAACGUCAAAACACAUCAACACUAUACUGUGGUGUGCACGAAUGACAUUAUCAUAAUGUAAUAAUAGGCUAUAACUACAUAACAGUGAGGUUAUAAAUAUUAAUGAGUAUAUGUCAUGAAUAUUAAUAAGAAUGACAUGAAUAUUUAUGAGUAGACAAUGACAAUGUCAAAUAUAUGAUGCACUUAUGAGAAUAUUGAGCAGUCCACGAUUAACAACAGAAGAAGGAGACGACUUGACAAAGGGCAAGCAGAAGUCUGGUGGGAUAGGAAUGGCACAUUAUGAAGAAUUACUAAGGAUAGGAAACCCAACGUUCGCAGCAGCAACAGUAACACCGUCAUUACCGAUGGCCGCUCGCUCUGAUGCAGAUAAACAAGGCAAAUUAAUCAAGUACAAUACGGAAUAUCAUGACACAAUACUCAAUAUUAUAAUGCAUGGUAAGUAUAUUGGACAGCAGGCAAGUCAUCGAUCUAAUCAAAUACACUAAAAGGUUAUCAUGUCUAAAAAUAGCCAACAGACUCUGCAAGUUGAACAGCUGUCAUGCAGAUUGGCACGCAUCUCCAUUUCACAGUGAAACCUGUUUAACUGGACCCCUUUGUAAAGUGGACAUUUGUGCAAUGUGAGCCCCCUACCUACACCCAAUUUUUCUGCAUAAAGACAUAUACUUGGAGGUCUCUAUAAAGAAACAUUCUGUUGAAAUUGAAACACAAUUUCAAAGAAAGGUUUCAUCUAGAAGUUCCAUUAGGGAUAUCUUAGUCUCUGCUGAAUAGACCAUCAGUUGUAAUGACAGCAUCUAAGAAAUUGAACGUAACAGCUGAGAGACAUCAGUGAAAUAUUGUUGUAAUGUUGUAAAUGACACUUUCUAUAAUAUCUAAUGUUUUAUAGUUCUAUAUGUAUUACAUUUUACAAACAUGAACUAGAUAUUUUAAUCAUGCAUGUAGCUUAAUUAAAUCAGUUUUUGGUU